GGGGAUGUAGUUUAGUGGUACAGCACCUGCCUGGUAAGCACAAGGCCCUGAGUUCCAUUCCAGAUCCCCA
rnacentral:tRNA from 1 species